rnacentral:tRNA from 3 species
GGAGAGGUGGCAGAGUGGUCGAACGCGCUCGACUUGAAAUCGAGUUUCUUGAAAGAGAACGUGGGUUCGAAUCCCACCCUCUCCG